CCUACGGGUGGCAGCAGUGGGGAAUAUUGCACAAUGGGCGCAAGCCUGAUGCAGCCAUGCCGCGUGUGUGAAGAAGGCCUUCGGGUUGUAAAGCACUUUCAGCGGGGAGGAAGGCGGUGAGGUUAAUAACCUCAUCGAUUGACGUUACCCGCAGAAGAAGCACCGGCUAACUCCGUGCCAGCAGCCGCGGUAAUACGGAGGGUGCAAGCGUUAAUCGGAAUUACUGGGCGUAAAGCGCACGCAGGCGGUCUGUCAAGUCGGAUGUGAAAUCCCGGGGCUCAACCUGGGAACUGCAUUCGAAACUGGCAGGCUAGAGUCUUGUAGAGGGGGGUAGAAUUCCAGGUGUAGCGGUGAAAUGCGUAGAGAUCUGGAGGAAUACCGGUGGCGAAGGCGGCCCCCUGGACAAAGACUGACGCUCAGGUGCGAAAGCGUGGGGAGCAAACAGGAUUAGAUACCCCUGUAGUC
rnacentral:rRNA from 1 species